GUCAAGUCCUAUGUGUGUGUCUAGAGUCCAGAGGAGGCUUAAAGUCAGUCAAGCAGCCACGGAUUCUCAAGUCCAUUGCCCCACAGGUCAAGUCAAAGCCUGAGAUUGUUUUGGAUCCUCAAGAAAUAACAAAAUGUCAUCUACAUACAUUGUAAUCUUGUCACCAUUGAUGUGAAGAGGGGAGCUUGUAUUACUGCUCAAUAGAUUUUAAGGCACCAGGAAGCUUUUCUCAGAUCAGAAAGCAGUGAGCCUGAUCAGAACGCUGGCAACUGACAUUUAGUGUAUAUUGAUGUUUGUCUGGUCCUCAGCUACGUAUUCUGGAGAAUUUUUGUAAGUGUUUUUCCUUAUAUUGAAAUGUGUUAUAUUGUUUGAUGAUACUGUAAAGCAGAAUGAUUUUUGUUCACUUCUAUGAACUAGUUGCAGAGAGAGGAGGUAGAAAAAACUAUCCCCACUAGGCGCUAUCUAUAGAGCAAAAAAGAAAAGUGAGUAGAAUCCUCUUAGUCCAAUAAAACUUGUUUAUUAAAUAGAGCAAGACGCGUUUCGGGUGUUGUAUCACCCUUCCUCAGUUGCAGAUGUGCAAUAUGGAUAAUAUUAUUGUCUAGUAAAACUUAAAGGGGUACUCUGCUGGAAAACAUCUUAUCCCCUAAUCUUAUCCAAAGGAUAAGGGAUAGUCCUCCCCAAUAAAUACACACACAUUUAAAAAACGUACUUCCUAUGACAAUUGAAAAGGGCCAUUGAGGAUAGA